rnacentral:rRNA from 1 species
UGGGGAAUAUUGGACAAUGGGCGAAAGCCUGAUCCAGCAAUGCCGCGUGAGUGAUGAAGGCCUUAGGGUUGUAAAGCUCUUUUACCCGGGAUGAUAAUGACAGUACCGGGAGAAUAAGCUCCGGCUAACUCCGUGCCAGCAGCCGCGGUAAUACGGAGGGAGCUAGCGUUGUUCGGAAUUACUGGGCGUAAAGCGCGCGUAGGCGGCUUUGUAAGUUAGAGGUGAAAGCCCGGAGCUCAACUCCGGAACUGCCUUUAAAACUGCAUCGCUUGAAUCCAGGAGAGGUGAGUGGAAUUCCGAGUGUAGAGGUGAAAUUCGUAGAUAUUCGGAAGAACACCAGUGGCGAAGGCGGCUCACUGGACUGGUAUUGACGCUGAGGUGCGAAAGCGUGGGGAGCAAACAGGAUUAGAUACCCCCGUAGUCC